CCUACGGGUGGCAGCAGUCGAGAAUUAUUCACAAUGGGGGCAACCCUGAUGGUGCGACGCCGCGUGAGGGAAUGAAGGUCUUCGGAUUGUAAACCCCUGUCAUGUGGGAGCAAACUAAUAAGAUAGUACCACAAGAGGAAGAGACGGCCAACUCUGUGCCAGCAGCCGCGGUAAUACCGAGGACCCAAGAGUUGUUCGGAAUCACUGGGCGUAAAGAGUGCGUAGGCUGUUUCGUAAGUCGGGUGUGAAAGGCGCGGGCGCAACCUGCGUACGGCACAUGAUACUGCGAGACUAGAGUACUGUAGGGGGAAGCGGAAUUCUCGGUGUAGCAGUGAAAUGCGUAGAUAUCGGGAGGAACACUCAUGGCGAAGGCGGGUUCCUGGACAUGAACUGACGCUGAGGCACGAAGGCCAGGGGAGCGAAAGGGAUUAGAUACCCUUGUAGUC
rnacentral:rRNA from 1 species